UAUAGAUUAGGCGACUCUCUUGUAUCCUUGGACUUUUUGCUCUUCGAUCGCUCCGGCUCCGUAUAUUUUUUUCCUGGAAUGGAUCGCUUAUAAUUACACACCGGCUGGCUAUAGAUAGCGAGACUCGACGCUCUUUUACAAUACGGUGUUACUCCUAAUCAAAAUUCACACACAUCGAAAAGCAGAUCACUUCGCACUCUCAGUCUCGCUCAGUCGCUCGCUCGCGCGCGCGCACAGAGCGAGGCUAUAAUUACUCGCUAACUCGAAAAUCACUCGAGCGGUUCAUCGACCUCGACGCCCUCCAGCUUCGUUCUCCGAAGAGCAUAGCGCAUCAGUUUUCGAUUCGACUGUGCUAUGGAGUGCAGUUCGAAAUUCCUCGCGUCGUUCUGUGACACGCAAACGAGGAGUGAUCGAAGAAGCCCCGGCGAGAGAAAAGUACACGCGUGUAUAGAAUCGCGAGUCGAUAGACGGGAAACCGGUCGCAUCGUCGUCCAAUGCUCUUUCCCUCUGAGAUUCGCCGCAUUAUAAUGAGACUACUCCUGGCGACUGUACGUCCACCGGAUUAACUUUUGUAUGAAUAAAGUGUAUAUAACGAAGUCGUUUCCUCGGGA